AGAGCGGAGAGGCAGGGGGUGUCAGCACCUUUCCCCGGGAAGCCGGACAAAGGAAGGGGCCGGCUGGAGGAGGAGCAGUUCAGUUUCGGUUUGGGGCUGGGUGGGGGAA